UACAGAGGGGGCAAGCGUUAUUCGGAAUUAUUGGGCGUAAAGGGCGCGUAGGCGGCUUGGCAAGUGGGUGGUGAAAUCCCUCGGCUUAACCGAGGAACUGCCAUCCAGACUGCUUUGCUUGAGGCCGGGAGAGGUGAGUGGAAUUCCCAGUGUAGCGGUGAAAUGCGUAGAUAUUGGGAGGAACACCAGUGGCGAAGGCAGCUCACUGGACCGGUUCUGACGCUGAUGCGCGAAAGCGUGGGGAGCAAACGGG
rnacentral:rRNA from 1 species